CUGCCAGAGCUGUUCUGUGAUCUCCUGGAUGUGAGGAAGAAACCGUUAGUCUUGGAGUUAUGGAUUCCCAGGUGUCUGCCCCAGGCUGACUCUGGUCUUCUCUAUCUCUUCAGGCAACAUGUACAUCUUUGGAGAUGCUAACCACCAUUCACUCCAGCCCAGUGCUGAGGGAGCUGCUCCCAGAGAUCCUCUGUGCUCUUCUGGAGCAAGCUGGCUGCACUGUGGGGCAGGACAUGCCAAUGCCCACAGCGAGCAUCCAGAGGAGGCAGCUGUGGAAGGGGCAGCUGCAAGCAGUGGGCAACCCUAGCAGGGCUCUGCUCCUGUUGGGCAUUAUAACACCCAGAUUCAUAGGGCAGGUCCUGCAGUGGGUCACUUCCACAACUGAAAAACUGUGUGUUACUGGUACAGCCUUCAUUAGCCAGCUUAUAUGCGACCCCACCAUCGAAGAGCAGAAGCUCCUGAAGCCAGUGAUUCGUUUACUUCAACAGCAAGCCAGGGACUCUAAUAACCUGGUUCAGCAGAUGGCAGCCAGAGGACUGGGCAAUAUACUUUAUGGUGCCCUGGAGCAGGUGAG